AAAAAAACGAUAAACUGGUUGUAACAGGAGACAAAAGGUACCUUUGUCCCUUCCUCGAUCUUUCGCACACCAGCUCUCCGUCUCUCUCCAAUUGCUCUCAUUCCGUAGAGCAUUCCAGUCAGAUCUCUCUCUCACAUACCGUGUUUGACCUGCAAACCUCUACUUCGUCGAAGGAUUAGGGUUUCUAUCUAUUACCGUUCCCAACUUCUCAAAUCUCCGCGUCGAUUUUGCUCUAAUCUCAAUUUCGAGAUUCAAACUUGAUCCUAGGCAUAAUCUGCCAUAUGAUUUGCUAAAUAGAUUCGAUCUCCGCCAUCGUUGCUUUUAGAUUUGUUUGUUUUGGUGUUGGGCUUUUUGUUUUUAUUGACGCUGAAAUGGUGGAUUCUGAGAGUCCAAACGGUUCUUCGCCACAGACGGCGGCGAAGUACGGCAUCACAAAGCCAAUCUCUCUUGCCGGACCCAACGAGGCCGAUCUUCAGCGCAAUAUGGAAUUGGAAAAGUUCUUGAUUGAUUCGGGGCUGUAUGAGAGCGAGGAAGAAGCUGCGAGGAGAAAAGAGGUCCUAGGCCGCAUCGAUCAGAUUGUGAAAGACUGGGUGAAGCAAUUAACCCGCCAGAGAGGCUACACAGAUCAGAUGGUGGAGGAUGCAAAUGCUGUCAUUUUUACUUUUGGCUCUUAUCAUCUGGGGGUACAUGGGCCUGGGGUUGACAUAGACACAUUGUGUGUUGGGCCAUCUUAUGUGAAUCGAGAUGAAGAUUUUUUUAUUGUUUUGCAUAAUAUUCUGGCGGACAUGGAAGAAGUUACCGAGCUUCAGCCAGUUCCAGAUGCUCAUGUCCCAGUAAUGAAAUUCAAGUUCCUGGGAAUAUCAAUCGAUCUUCUCUAUGCAAGUAUAUCCCUUUUAGUUGUUCCAGAAGACCUGGACAUCUCACAUGGGUCUGUGCUGUACGAUGUUGAUGAGCAAACUGUUCGAAGUCUUAAUGGCUGUAGGGUUGCAGAUCAAAUUCUUAAACUUGUUCCAAAUGUUGAGCACUUCCGCAUGACGCUCAGAUGUCUGAAGUUUUGGGCUAAAACAAGAGGUGUUUAUUCAAAUGUGACUGGAUUCCUUGGUGGUGUAAAUUGGGCUCUUUUAGUCGCUCGGGUAUGCCAGCUUUACCCCAAUGCAAUUCCUAGUAUGCUGGUUUCUCGGUUCUUCAGAGUUUAUACCCAGUGGCGUUGGCCAAACCCUGUGAUGUUAUGUUCAAUCAAAGAGAAUGAACUUGGGUUUCCUGUAUGGGAUCCUCGAAAAAACCCUAGGGACCGAUUUCAUCACAUGCCAAUAAUAACUCCUGCAUACCCUUGCAUGAAUUCUAGCUACAAUGUCUCAACAAGUACUCUUCGUGUUAUAAUGGAGCAGUUCCACCAUGGUCACAGGAUCUGUCAGGAGAUUGAACUGAAAAAAGCCCAGUGGAGCGCUCUGUUUGAGCCAUAUCUAUUUUUUGAGGCCUACAAAAACUAUUUACAGGUCGAUAUAGUUGCAGCUGAUGCUGAUGAUUUGCUAGCUUGGAAGGGAUGGGUGGAGUCUCGGUUUAGACAACUUACCCUGAAGAUAGAAAGGGACACAAAUGGGAUGCUGCAGUGCCAUCCUUAUCCAAAUGAAUAUGUGGAUGCCUCCAAGCCGUGUCCGCAUUGUGCUUUCUUCAUGGGCUUGCAGAGGAAAGAGGGUGUUAGAGGUCAAGAAGGCCAGCAAUUUGAUAUACGUGGAACAGUUGAUGAGUUCAGGCAAGAUAUCAAUAUGUACAUGUUUUGGAAACCAGGGAUGGAUAUUUUUGUUUCUCACGUUCGUCGAAAGCAGCUUCCUGCUUUUGUUUUUCCUGAUGGUUAUAAACGUUCUCGAUUGUCAAGGCACGGAAGCCAGCAGGCUGAAAAAACUUGUGAAGAUGAUGUGGGGUGUUGGUCUGGGUCUGCUGAAAGACGUCUCAAGAGGAAAAAUGAUCCUGAAACGGUGGAUGUUAAGCCGGAAAAACCAGAGAAGCGAGUCUCUAUUAGCCCACAACCGCCAGAGUUGGUUACUCCAGAAAGUCGUACAAGUAGGUCUGGUGGAGUUUCUCAGGUCAGCUUCAGUGAAGGGGUUAGAUUAGAGUGUUUAACUGGGCAUGUAGAUAGCAACUCUGAGGUUAGGUCAUCUGGUGGACGGUUAGGGAAUGAAGAGGGUAUCAUAGAAAAUCAUGUGCAGAUGGGUGAAACUGUUGUUAAUGACUCUGUCAACUUGACUGAGCAAGCUUUUGUAAGUUCAUAUAAUUUGCCAGAAGUUAGGAAUGAGGUAAUGGUAACUGAAGCAGUGGAGAAACCUGACAUGUAUUCCCAGAAUGGGGACAAAGUUGAGAUAGCUUACAUGGAGAGUGCGGAGACUGGAUCUACCUGCAGACUGCUGAAUUGGACGGAGGGUGCUGUUGAUGCUGAUCAAGAAGUGGUCAAACCAUGUAAUCAGACAAUGGGUAAAGAAAAUGCUGAAAGUGUAUUAGAACCAAGUUGCAGUACUCGGAACCUCAGUUGCGAGGGCGAUGCAGAUCCUCAUUUGCUUUUGCUAAAUGAGUGUUUCAAUGUGAGCGAAGUAUUUCAAAAUGGCUUGUCUAAAGACUUGGAGAGCCAAAUAUUGGACUCGAGCGUGUUGUGAAUUCUGAAGAUGGAGCUAGGUCAGAAUCUAUUCAAGAGCCAGUGAUAAGGUUAAGUCUCAAGUCGGUGGCACAAUGUUUGGAAGGUCACUAUAAUUAAACAGGGAGUCACUUAUAUGAAAGGAGAGAGCCAGCACCUUGGUAAGUGGCCCAUUAAUUGCUGGCUAUCUUUAUGGUUCUUCCAGGUGCACACCAUGAGACAUCUUGUGAGCUGGGUGGGAGCAGGGAUCAGCAAUGCAAAGCGUGUGCAUAGCUUCGCGGUUUUGCUGCAGAUUGCCCGAUGAAGCUGAGAAGUGAAAAUGUAAGUAAGAAACUGGUUUGGUUACUUAACCAAAACCAGGAAAGAUGUGUUUAUUUAUAAUGAUCAUUGUACACCAGUUUAGGAAAUAUUAGUACAACACUUUACAUCAAGUUGACCAUGUAAAAUGAAAACAAAAACAGAAAAGAGUCUUGUUGAAUUUGAGGAGCCGUGAGUCAACCCGGAAACAAGGAGGAGAAAAGUGCAGCAGAAUUCCUGGAGGGAAUCGGGCUGCAGGUCAGCUGUGUAGACUGUUCUAAGCUGCUGAGGAUCAAUCACCUGAUGUCUUAGGAUCGUGUGCAUGCUGACUCCCAAGGAAGUAUGCUGAGGAAAACUAGAAAAAUAGAAAAGGAAGGCAGGGGCUGAGUAAGGCUAGUAGCCAUUACUCUGUAGUGACUUGAUUUUCUUUUCCACUUUGAUUUUCUUUUUCCACUUGGUUCUCUUCUUAACAAGAAGAGUGUAGAAGGCUACUAAUGUAUGAAGUAAAAAGGUACUCUGAAGACUGGUCCUCUGUUCUCUACUCUUCUUUGCGGAUGUGGGAAGUUUUGUAGCCUUCUGUUGGUGAAAGAAUCCAUUUAACUCGGCAGAAUAUUUAUUUACAAGAGAAAAUUGCGCCGCUCU